CUGCUCCCUUUGGCAGCACAUAUACUCAAAACUGUAAUGUUACAGCAUGGCCCCUGCACAAGGAUGCCACGCAAAUUCAUGAAGUGUUCCUACUUUUA
rfam:Myotis brandtii contig293226, whole genome shotgun sequence.